AGGGCGCGCAAGGGGUGCCUUGGGUUCAUUUGACCCUUGGCUGAGAUCAUACCCUUACCACCGGAUCAGCGUUAUGGCUGCGUCGGGAAUGCGCGCACCCCUUUGG
rnacentral:ncRNA from 1 species